UGGGGUGUAGCCAAGCGGUAAGGCAUCGGUUUUUGAUACCGACAUGCGCAGGUUCGAUCCCUGCCACCCCAGCCA
rnacentral:tRNA from 1 species